UCCUUCCAAUGAACACCCAGGACUGAUCUCCUUUAGGAUGGACAGGUUGGACCUCCUUGCAGUCCAAGGGACUCUCAAGAGAUUUCUCCAACACCACAGUUCAAAAGCAUCAAUUCAGGAGUGUUGGCUGGGACGGAGCAGGAGCGGAGCGGCCGAGAGGAGCUACCCCACAUCCAAGACUGAAGACCCCAAGAAAGAAAAAAAUACGUGCAUAUGAUGAGAAGAUUGAGAUUCAAAAGAUCGAUCAACUUGCCUGAAAUUUUGACAUAGCAUUUUUCAGUGAGCACCGUUAGAAACAGAACCCUGGGAAUGGAAGGAAAUUUAACACUUUGGAUAUGAAAAUCAGUCUGCAAAGUUGUCCAUCCACUGGGGAAAAAAUCUGACAGAUAUGAUUAAUGACAUAAACAUGAAAUCAAUAUAGCAAGGCAACUUAGGAAACUGCUGAUGUAAAGGUUUGGGAGAAGGAAAUGCUCACGUGUAGGCUUAAGUAAAAAUAAUGAAAGAGGAAAUACUAAAUUAAGGCUAUUUGGUUCCUUUUGUCUUAACAAUAGAGAGUUGGAACUAUUUGGUUCCAACUUGAUUUGGAAACUUGAUUUGCCUUCACAAAGACAUGAUAUAUAAAAUGAACUCAUUUUGCUUCAAGACAUUUCCCAUCAAUACCAACUUAUAGCACAAGAACUAAAAAAUAAUUAUAGUCAUAACUUUAGAUUUACAGCAAUUAGGCUGAGUAAAAUAGAAGCAACCCAAAUGAAUAUUGUUAUAUUUUUCAUUAUUAAGAAUUAAGCCAUGUUUGGUUUGUAUUUGUGCCCAAGACAUAAAUUAUUUCUCUAUUAGAUCACCUUUAAAUAUUAAAUUCAAAUGGACUCAUAGUUCUGUCCUUCAUAGCUUUUAAGUGCAGUGUUCUAAUUCAAGCAAGGGACUUAAAUAUUUAUGAAGUGGACACUGGUGGAAGGAUAGUCUACCUUCUCAUUUAAGGUAGUAAGUUAUCAGGCUGAUUACAAUAGAUCCAGAUAUUUUGUUGUUGUUAUUGUUUUUAGGCUCAUACAAGUUUUCAUAUAACAUGUGAGAACAUUUUUUUAAAUAUACAUCAAAUUAAGGAACUUAGUGUUAACCAACAGCAAAAUCAAUCAUGUUAGAAAAUAUCCCCAAUUAUCCUAGUCAUUUUUUAUCCUGAUAUCUUCCAUCUUUUAAACUUAGAGAAAAUUAAAAGCACUGAAAACUCAGAUUUCACUUUAAUUUGAAACCACGUGACUAUGUCAGGUUUCAGAAGUCUCUGCUACCUUUACCCAGACAGUUUUCCAUGAGUCAAACUAAAGUCUCCUAAAGAACCAGAAUUCACCAUAACUGAGACGCCGACAGUAACAGCAUAACGAAACACUGGAGAACAGUGCUUUCAGAAGGGGCACGCUGACCUGAGGAUACACACAACAUUCAAAGUGAUCUGGGGACUAGAGACAGAGACUCGGGCUGAGGGCACAUUGCAAGUCUCCUCAAAGAUGUCCUUGGCCGAGGAUGAGGAUAGAACCCAGAACUGCUGACCGCAGCAACUGGAGUAAAUCCUGAAACCACACAACCAUUUAACAGAACACACAGAUACUUGUUUUCUGUACAUGUAUAUUGGGGUUUGGAUAGGAUUUCAAAAUUGUUCACACUCAGCAUCUUCUGUUUCCAGGAUCUCAUUUGAUGAGCCCUUCUCUUUCCAUUAUUUGAUCAGAAGACAUGGAAAAUUUGACUCUACUUCACUUUUCUAUUUAUCUCAGAAUUAAGUUUUAUGCUCCAUUUGCCAUCUGCUGUGUUUGUGUUCUCUGCCCUUUUUAACCCUGUACUGAAAGAAGCUUUAGACCCAUUUGGAUGAUAUUCAUUUGCAAGCAAUGGAUGAAAUCAGAAUAAUA